rnacentral:rRNA from 1 species
GUGGGGAAUAUUGGACAAUGGGCGAAAGCCUGAUCCAGCCAUGCCGCGUGAGUGAUGAAGGCCUUAGGGUUGUAAAGCUCUUUCAGUAGGGAAGAUAAUGACGGUACCUACAGAAGAAGCCCCGGCUAACUUCGUGCCAGCAGCCGCGGUAAUACGAAGGGGGCUAGCGUUGUUCGGAUUUACUGGGCGUAAUGCGCACGUAGGCGGAUUGGUCAGUUAGAGGUGAAAUCCUGGAGCUCAACUCCAGAACUGCCUUUAAUACUGCCAGUCUAGAGUCCAGAAGAGGUGAGUGGAACUCCUAGUGUAGAGGUGGAAUUCGUAGAUAUUAGGAAGAACACCAGUGGCGAAGGCGGCUCACUGGUCUGGUACUGACGCUGAGGUGCGAAAGCGUGGGGAGCAAACAGGAUUAGAAACCCGAGUAGUCC